rnacentral:rRNA from 1 species
CCGGAUUGGAGUCUGCAACUCGACUCCAUGAAGUCGGAAUCGCUAGUAAUCGUGGAUCAGAAUGCCACGGUGAAUACGUUCCCGGGCCUUGUACACACCGCCCGUCACACCAUGGGAGUGGGCUGCAAAAGAAGUGGGUAGUUUAACCUUCGGGAGGACGCUCACCACUUUGUGGUUCAUGACUGGGGUGAAGUCGUAACAAGGUAGCGCUAGGGGAACCUGGCGCUGGAUCACCUCCUUAUACGAUGAU